rnacentral:rRNA from 1 species
GAACGCGAAGAACCUUACCUGGGCUUAAAUGCAGAGUGCAUUCAGCUGAAAGGCUGAUUUCCUUCGGGACUUUCUGCAAGGUGCUGCAUGGUUGUCGUCAGCUCGUGCCGUGAGGUGUCGGGUUAAGUCCCAUAACGAGCGCAACCCUUAUCGUUAGUUGUCAGCGGGUAAAGCCGGGAACUCUAGCGAAACUGCCGGUGUAAACCGAGAGGAAGGUGGGGAUGACGUCAAAUCAGGCACUGCCCUUAUUUCCAGGGCUACACACGUGGUUACAAUGGCCGGUACAGAGGGGAGCUAUGCUGUGAGGCAAUGCGAAUCUCGAAAGCCGGGUCUCAGUUCGGGAUCGGGAGUCUGCAACUCGACUCCCGGGAAGCUGGGAUUCGCUAGUAAUCGCGCAUCAGCCAUGGGCGCUGGGGCAUACGGUGACCGGGGGUCUGGGUGGGACG